ACGCUCGACACCUACUGGAGGCAGCAGUGGGGAAUAUUGCACAAUGGGGGAAACCCUGAUGCAGCGACGCCGCGUGGAGGAAGAAGGUCUUCGGAUUGUAAACUCCUGUUGUUGGGGAAAAAGAGGAUGGUACCCAACAAGGAAGUGACGGCUAACUACGUGCCUAGCAGCCGCGGUAAUCUGAGCGGGCUGGCAAGGC
rnacentral:rRNA from 1 species